rnacentral:rRNA from 1 species
UACGGAGGGGGCUAGCGUUGUUCGGAAUGACUGGGCGUAAAGCGCGCGUAGGCGGAUUGGCAAGUUGGGGGGUGAAAUCCCGGGGCUCAACCUCGGAAUGGCCUUCAAGACUGCCGGUCUUGAGUUCGAGAGAGGUGAGUGGAAUUCCUGGUGUAGCGGUGGAAUGCGUAGAUAUCCGGAAGAACACCGGAGGCGAAGGCGGCUUGCUGGACCUGGUCUGACGCUGAGGCGCGAAAGCGUGGGGAGCGAACAGG